rnacentral:rRNA from 1 species
GUUCUGGUGCCAGCAGCCGCGGUAAUUCCAGCUCCAGUAGCGUAUAUUAAAGUUGCUGCAGUUAAAAAGCUCGUAGUUGAAUUUCUGUUUGUAAGAGUCGAAGCUUUACAGCUAAGAUUUCUUCGAACAUCUGUUUGCAAGCAUACGUUCGGCCUUCACUGGUUGGCUAUGUAAGCAAGCGCUUUACCUUGAGAAAAUUAGAGUGUUCCAGGCAGGCUUCAGCCGGAAUACAUUAGCAUGGAAUAAUGGAAUAGGACUGGGGACUAUUUAUUGGUUUGAGGCUCCAGUAAUGAUUAAUAGGAACAGUCGGGGGCAUUGGUACUUAACAGUCAGAGGUGAAAUUCUUGGAUUUGUUAAAGACUAACUAAUGCGAAAGCAUUUGCCAAGCAUGUUUUCAUUAAUCAAGAACGAAAGUUAGGGGAUCAAAGACGAUUAGAUACCGUCCUAGUCUUAACUGUAAACGAUUCCAUCUUAGAAUUGGGUGAAUAUUUGAUGAUUCAUCCAGCGCUAUAAGAGAAAUCAAAGUCUUUGGGUUCUUGGUGGAGUACGAUCGCAAGAUUGAAACUUAAAGGAAUUGACGGUUUUGCACACCAUGGAGUGGAGCCUGUGGCUUAAUUUGACCCAACACUGGGAAACUCAUCAGGACAACAAAGUUUUAGGAUUGACAGAUUGAUAGCUCUUUCUUGAUUGACUUAAUGGUGGUGCAUGGCCGUUCUUAGUUGGUGGAGUGAUUUGUCUGGUUAAUUCCGUUAACGAACGAGACCUUAACCUACUAACUAGCACGACGUGACGAACGUUAGUUACUUCUUAGAGGGACAAUGUGUAUUUUCAACACAAGGAAGUUUAAGGCAAUAACAGGUCUGUGAUGCCCUUAGAUGUCCUGAGCCGCACACGCGCUACAAUGACACUUUCAAUAAGUUUUUGCUGGUCCGACAGGAUUUCGGCUAAUCUUUUUAGUAAGUGUCGUGCUAGGGAUAGAUCUUUGCAAUUGUGGAUCUUGAACGAGGAAUUCCUAGUAAGCACAAGUCAUCAGCUUGUGCUGAUUACGUCCCUGCAAAAUGUACACAUCGCCCGUCGCUUGCUCCGAUUGAGUAAUCUGGUGAGCCUUCUUGACUGAGUAAGUAAUUACGAAGAAAAUUAAGCAAACCAUAUUACUUAGAGGAUGAAGAAGUCGUA